GGCGCUGGUCACCUACCGACGCUUGUCAGUUUAAAACGAUAAAAUCAUUUAUACUUCAUUAUACACGAAUUAUAUGUAAACGGAGGGUAACCUACGUUAUCAUCAUAAUAUGUUUCCAUUUUUGAGAGGUUCAGGUUACUAAGCCUCUUUGUACAA